AUAAGGUCCCUCCUGAGCCUCCUUUUCUCCAGGCUGAGCCCCCUCAGCUCCCUCAACUGCUCCUCAACAGACUUGUGCUCCAGACCCUUCCCCAGCUCUGUUGUCCUUCUCUGAACACGCUCCAGCUCCUCAGUGUCUUUCUUAUCACGGGCAGCCCAAAACUGAACACAGGAUUCAAGGUGUGGUCUCACCAGUGCCCAGCCCAGAGGGACAAUCCCUGUCCUGGCCCUGCUGCCCACACUGUUGCUGAUACAGACCGGGAUGCCAUUGCCCUUCUUGCCCACCUGGGCACACCCUGGCUCACGUUCAACCCUGGCUGGGAAGAAGUUGCCAGGCCCUGUAUGGUGUCAUAUGGGUGAUGACUGUAUGUUGUUGAUCAGCAUAGUUCCUGAGACAGCCAAGACCACAUAUUGUGAGACAGCAAAUAACUCAGUGACAAUAAUCUCAGUCAGAGUAUUAAUACUAAUUACCUCAAAUAUAUGUUGGCCUGAAUCCAAGUGCAGUUAGAGACAGUUUCAUGCCACUCUUAAGUCAGAGAGAAUCAGGUGCUGACAUGCCCCAGCCUGGCCUUAAGGACUAAUUUGGUUUAUGUGUGAAUACUCAACUGAUUCAAGGCAGAUGCUCUGAGUUGUAAUUUGGGUCAAGCACUUAGUUCCUAGAGGGGACAAGAACUGUGACAGGAAAGAAGAAACACAUAUUCUUUAUGACAAAACAAUGUAUGAGUUUCAGUUAUCAUGUAUUUAUUAUCACCCAUCCAAGGCAAUCAAAAUAUAAUUAUUUCAAAAUGUAGCAGACUAAAAUGGCAAGAGGAACACUUUAUAUGGGAAUAUAUGUCUUGGGAAUUCUGAGUGACCCACUGACAUUUGUGGCCCUGGGUGAUUUUAAAAAGUUAUAUUUGAAGGAAAGAUGGAAGAAAUGGGUAGAGUUUUGUUCCAAUUAAAUCAAUUUAAAGUUGCUGGAACAGAAGAAGAGGAAUCAAAAUUCCAAUCAGAAUUCAUCAUGCUGGUGGAGUACAGGAAGUAAUUUUCAAUGCCCAUGAUCCCUCAGAUAAGGCUUGUGGGAUAGUGACAAUCCACUCGUCUUACAAGUGUAAAUCCUGCUUCAGGGAAUAUUUACAGUUCAAGGGGCAGUCUCAGGUUUCUGUGCAGAGCAUAAGGAACGUGGAUUGGUUCUGCUGAUCAUGCUUGUGCAAAAUUUAGGCACAUAUGCAGGAAAACGUGCAUGUUCAAAGGUGCCUGCACUUCAUUUGUAAAUGAAAAGUGUAUCUUCAUUCCAUAUGUAACAUGACAAAUCGAGAGGAUCCAAAAAAAAACCCCAAAACUCUGCCUGUCUUGCACUUCUAGUGUUGUAAAUGCUAAAAAAGUGUUCAACCUUCUUUCAAAAUGUGGCUCUGACUGCCUUCAGCAGCACCAUUUCUUGGAGCAAUAAUGAUCCAAAUGAGGGUGACUCAGCAUCCAAGUGCCUUUGAAGAUGCCAAUUUAUUUCUUUAAAAUUAUAUUUCCGUCUUCUCAAGGGGGAAUCUCAGCACUAAGACAUGUAAAUAAUCAGAUUGAUAAAGGGAGUGUUUUACUAAGUUGAAUAUGUCUAAAAAAUUAGUCCUGAAUCAAUGAAGUAAUUAAUUAUUCUUUAGCUGUAUUAAGUGUAUGUAAAUAUGUUGGUCCAGUUAUCUAUGUUUUGGUUCAUCUCAACUAGUUUUCAGGGAUUAUAUCCAGCUCUGUAACACGUGACUUAACUUUAGAUGUGUACAUGUAGAUAUGCAUAUAUACCUCAGUGAAUAAAUGUGUGUUGUAGUCAGUGAAUUAAUUAGUCAGUUCAGUCCACUGUAUCUAGGCAACUAAAAAUCUGAAAAAUCACUACAGACAUAACUGAUGUGUCUAAACAUGUUUUUAGUGUAACUUGAGAUGCCUCAGGUUAUGCUGCCGAACCUCCAGCUGAGGAUCCAUGGACCUCCAAAAAGUUGCUGCUGAUAUUUUUCAGGUGAAGAGAAAUGGCUCAGGAACCACAGAGCACACAAAAAUUAAAUUACUUCCUCGGAAGAAGAGCACAGAUCUUUUUUUGACAACUCUUUUCUCACCUCAUUAUUUCUCCAUCACAAUAACUAAAGCUGUCAGAUUCCUGAUGGAAAGCUGCAAGGAAAGCAUGUUGCAAGCAGCUGGUCUUCACAAGGCUGUUGUAACCCCCUCUCCCCAAAUGUAGAAUCCACAAACAAAAUAAAACAAGGCAGAAAAGACA